AUUCUUUACAGCUGCAAAUUUCCCCCUACAAAGAACAGCUUUGCCGGGGCCAUUUCAAAAUAUGGCAAAGAAACUUGUUUUGGGGCAAAAUAUUUUUAUUUUCUUCCUCAUAUCGUAAUGUUCUGCCAGGGCCAGGUUGGAAAGUAAGUCAUGAUAUACGUGGUUAAAUAAAACCCAUCUGAUGAGAAUUUAUGGUUUGUAGGGCAUGACUCCCCAAGCCCCUUAGGUAGGAAUUUGGGCAAGAUAAAAAAUCAGAGUUUAGUCCUCAAUCAUGAUGAGCUGCUGAGUUUCACACAAGGCCUGUUGUCAUUUAAACUAUAGCCUAAAUGUCUCUCAAAGUCAGCUUGGCCCCAAAAACCAGGAAUAAUUAAAGGAAAGGCAAGAUUGUGGGUGGGCUAGCUCAGCUCACAGUUAUAAUAAUUCUUCUCACUGAUACUGUUACAGCAGGUAGCUCCUCCGGCUUGAGCAGGACAGGAGAGCGCUUCCCACCCACAACCAGGAAUGUCAGGCGACCCCUCAGGUGAUGGUCAGGUGGUUGUUGCACUGUUUCUCUAAAAUAAUAAUUGGUAGCAACCAGCGCCAAGGAAAGGCAGUCUCCCAGUAGAUAGAAAAAAACCUGAAACGUGGUCAGGUUUAUCCACAAUCUUGCUCAUGUGGUCCUGUGGCCCCCACCGAGGAGCUGGGUUAGGGUUGGGAAGACAGCUUCGACUCCCCAAGACUUCAUCUCCAACCGGACCGGUCAGCGCUCCUGACUCACUGGCCGCCUACCCACCAUAUCAUCCUUCGAAACUCGGAUCCCCACGUUUUUGGGGAGAAGGAUUUGAGUAAUAAUAAAACUCCCGUCUCCCCCGCAGCCGGCUCUGCGUGAAUUACACUUUCCUUAUUGCGAUUCCCCUGCCCCGAUGCGACCAAGGGGCCCGCCCAGGAGCGCAGAGAAACCAUUAAGGGGUCACAGGACCGGGCUCCCAGGGUGACUCCCUGGCCACCAAGUCCUCCAGCAGGUCACUCCUGGAUUCCGGCUGGACCCCCUGCCCAGGGAGGGGCCCAGGAGACGCGGAAAUCGGGUCCCCCGCGGGUGAAGGGGAGGUGGGAGCCCCAGAGGAGGGCGGGAAGGCUCGGCCGGGGACGUGCCCGAGGGGGAGGAGAGGGGCUCCCGUCCGGGUCCGGCGCUGCGGGUCUCAGGGUCCGCGUCCCGCCCACCCCGCGGGGGUCUGGGCUGCGGGCGGAGCCUCCUCCGGGACCUGCACCUGCGCCGGCCGCCGCCAGGGGCGCCGCUGAGCACCCGCCUCCGCCGCUUCCCCCUCCCCGCCGGGCGGGGCCGCGCGCCUCCCACCCGGGACCCACUUCGGAGUUCGCCCCCUUCGGGACUCGCCUCCGGGAGACCCCCGAGGGGGAGAGGGCGCUUCCUCCGCGUCCAUCGCCCUUGCCGCCCCUGGGCCGACAGCCUGGAUUGCCGACAGGCCGCGAGCGUGGCCUUGGGCCCAGGGUGUCCCGGACUCAGCACUGACGUUCCCGGAAAGAGCCCACGUUGAGUAGGAGCUGAGACCUGCAGGACACAGGAACUCCUCCCAGGGUCCUGGAUCCAGCUGCUGCUCACGGCAGGAGGCCCGAAACCAGAAGGCCUGAGCACUUGCCCGGUCCCCAAGAGAUGCACAGAGGCCGGAAGGGGCAGUGCAGGGGCUGACCAACCUGCUCA
rnacentral:lncRNA from 1 species